GAUGAACGCUGGCGGCGUGCCUAAUACAUGCAAGUCGAGCGAACGGACGAGAAGCUUACUUCUCUGAUGUUAGCGGCGGACGGGUGAGUAACACGUGGAUAACCUACCUAUAAGACUGGGAUAACUUCGGGAAACCGGAGCUAAUACCGGAUGAUAUUUUGAACCGCAUGGUUCAAAAGUGAAAGACGGUCUUGCUGUCACUUAUAGAUGGAUCCGCGCUGCAUUAGCUAGUUGGUAAGGUAACGGCUUACCAAGGCAACGAUGCAUAGCCGACCUGAGAGGGUGAUCGGCCACACUGGAACUGAGACACGGUCCAGACUCCUACGGGAGGCAGCAGUAGGGAAUCUUCCGCAAUGGGCGAAAGCCUGACGGAGCAACGCCGCGUGAGUGAUGAAGGUCUUCGGAUCGUAAAACUCUGUUAUUAGGGAAGAACAUAUGUGUAAGUAACUGUGCACAUCUUGACGGUACCUAAUCAGAAAGCCACGGCUAACUACGUG
rnacentral:rRNA from 1 species